UAGGGAAUCUUCCGCAAUGGACGAAAGUCUGACGGAGCAACGCCGCGUGAGUGAAGAAGGAUUUCGGUUCGUAAAACUCUGUUGUUAGGGAAGAAAAAAUGUAUAGUAACUAUAUACAAAAGAGACGGUACCUAACCAGAAAGCCACGGCUAACUACGUGCCAGCAGCCGCGGUAAUACGUAGGUGGCAAGCGUUGUCUGGAAUUAUUGGGCGUAAAGCGCGCGCAGGUGGUUUAGAAAGUCUGAUGUGAAAGCCCACGGCUCAACCGUGGAGGGUCAUUGGAAACUAAUAAACUUGAGUGCAGGAGAGAAAAGUGGAAUUCCUAGUGUAGCGGUUAAAUGCGUAGAGAUUAGGAGGAACACCGGUGGCGAAAGCGGCUUUUUGGCCUGCAACUGACACUGAGGCGCGAAAGCGUGGGGAGCAAACAGG
rnacentral:rRNA from 1 species